rnacentral:rRNA from 1 species
UGUUUCGGCUAGGGGGCCAUCCCGGCUUACCAACCCGAUGCAAACUGCGAAUACCGGAGAAUGUUAUCACGGGAGACACACGGCGGGUGCUAACGUCCGUCGUGAAGAGGGAAACAACCCAGACCGCCAGCUAAGGUCCCAAAGUCAUGGUUAAGUGGGAAACGAUGUGGGAAGGCCCAGACAGCCAGGAUGUUGGCUUAGAAGCAGCCAUCAUUUAAAGAAAGCGUAAUAGCUCACUGGUCGAGUCGGCCUGCGCGGAAGAUGUAACGGGGCUAAACCAUGCACCGAAGCUGCGGCAGCGAACGUAUCACCCAAGACAACUUUACGGAGUUGACGAUUGACGGAGCGAAGCGACGUCAAAGCGUUCAUUAAAGUCGAGUUGGCUUAGGGAUACGUUCGUUGGGUAGGGGAGCGUUCUGUAAGCCUGUGAAGGUGUGUCGUGAGGC